UACGUAGGGGGCUAGCGUUGUCCGGAUUUAUUGGGCGUAAAGAGCGUGUAGGCGGCCAGGUAGGUCUGCUGUGAAAACUCGAGGCUCAACCUCGAGACGUCGGCGGAAACCAUCUGGCUAGAGUCCGGAAGAGGAGAGUGGAAUUCCUGGUGUAGCGGUGAAAUGCUUAGAUAUGACAUAGAACACCCAUUGCGAAGGCAGCUCGCUACACUAUUAUUGACACUGAGGCACGAAAGCGUGGGGAUCAAACAGG
rnacentral:rRNA from 1 species